GUUGGGUGCGGUGGUGCACACCUGUAACCCCAGAAACCCUGGAGGCUGAGGCAGGAGGAUCCGGAGUUCAAAGCCAGCCUCAGCAACAGCUAGGCGCUAAGCAGCUCAGUGAGACCCUGUCUCUA
rnacentral:sRNA from 1 species